rnacentral:rRNA from 1 species
UACGUAGGGUGCGAGCGUUGUCCGGAAUUAUUGGGCGUAAAGAGCUUGUAGGCGGUUUGUCGCGUCUGCUGUGAAAUUUCGGGGCUCAACCCCGAACUUGCAGUGGGUACGGGCAGACUAGAGUGUGGUAGGGGAGACUGGAAUUCCUGGUGUAGCGGUGAAAUGCGCAGAUAUCAGGAGGAACACCGAUGGCGAAGGCAGGUCUCUGGGCCACUACUGACGCUGAGAAGCGAAAGCAUGGGGAGCGAACAGGA